CCUUACCAAGGCAGUGAUGCUAUAUGCCUUCUCUCAAUAAGUAUGUGGUAUUUGUGGUAUAAAGCAUAAUGACAUUGCCUUCUCUCUCACCCUACUCUAAUAAGGCUUUAAUAUCUGGAGCUCAUAGGUGGGAGAUAAAGUAUACAUACUCACAAGACAUUUAUUGCAUAGUCAAACCAUGGAUCCAAAGAAACAAAUCAAUAAGUCAAAUCAAGAUGUGCAUGUGUGGCGAAUGAAUGGUGUAUGUGGUGAUGAUGGUGAUAACAAAGGUGAAAGUCUAAUUCUACUUUUGCUAUUUUGAGGGGAUACAUACCUUCCUUGCAUUUUUUUCAACUUCUUGAAGAGAAUGAGAUGCUCUAUAUUUCAUUUUAUUUACUCUUAGGUGGGUAUCUUGUACCCCUAAUUCUACUGUCGGACACUUGUCCAUUUUUACCUCUCGUCUCACUUUUUCUUUUCUUUCGAGGUUCCGACGUGGGCACUUGCCCCUUUUUAUUUCCUCGUCUCUAUUUUUUUAGAGCACUCAUCUCUUGAGAUAAUAUAGCAAGUAGUAGUAACAAGAUAACUUGAGCAUUUAUUUUAUAGGGGAAAAAUAGAAAUAUUUUUGGCUAUUCUCUCCCGGAUUAGAAGUAGAAUAUUUUUGGGUGGUUCUGGAGAUGGAAAUGGGUGGAUAUAUGUGGAUGGUACUUCCGGAGUCGAAGCAGCAUGUGUGAGUGAACGUGCAAGUGAAAUCUUGAUUUAACCACAUGACAAGCUCCUAAGGGUCUACACAGUUUGACCACACUCAAUGCUCAUAAGCAGUAAAGUAAAUAUGUGGCUCAAAGUCUAGUAAGCAUGUAUAUAUGGCUGUGAUAGGAAUUUAAACUCUCAUCAUACAGCAACUCAUCAUGCAAUAUUUUAAAGAUUUUCAAAGAUAAAAUUCUCCACAAUUCUAGCAUCUCUAGGAACAGAUAAACAGCAGCUCAACCUUCCCAUAUCAUAUCCGUUAACAACAGAUCAAGUUUUCUUCCCACAAGUUUAGGUUUAGAGCAAGCUUUAAAUUAUAAUAGUUAUGUCUAAACUUGAGAGAGAACUUCAAAUUUUAAAAAUUAGGCAGAGCAACUAUUCAUCAUAUCCAUGCUAGAGUUUUAUUAUUAAGUUUCAGAUUAGCAUAGCCACUUUAUUUAUUUAUUAAACAACCUAAGCAAAAGAUAUAUAUAUAUAUAAGCACAAAAUCUUUAUUUGGUUUUCCAUAGUUAUGUAUAUUUAUAUUUUAAUAUAGUACAAGUAUAAAGAUAGAUAGAAAUACUUAGCGGGAUAAAUGGGGGUGCUCUCUCCCAAGCUGAAUUUUGACGUAAUUUCUUCUGAUGUAGCUAGCAGGUGGCAGAGGUGUAUUUGAAAGUCGGCAGUAUCUUGACAGCGAUUAGAAUAUCCUCCGUCUACUAGUCUUCUUGAUUCUUAAAUUUUGUGGAGCUCAAAUAGACAACAAAGCUUUGUGGAACUGAUUAAGUGUUAGCAUAAAUAUCUAGCCUUUAUCAUGUUGAGUCUCCUCAAAAAAUAUUACUCUCUAUAUUUUUUUAUAUUUUCGUUUUAUAAAGCAGAAAAGAAAUAUUUAUUUUAUUUUUAUGCCACCACAAUGAAUGUACUUAUGGGUUUUAUGCCACUCAUAUACUCACAUGGGGCUUACUGUAUUUUAACUUUUUUUAUUUUCUUUUUAGGAUAGUACGAAGAUGAUUAACUAAGCAAACUAUUUUAAAUAAUUGAAAGGGAAAAAGAUAACUACCAAUUUACCUCUUGGCAAGGCGUUCGGUGUUUUUAAGUCCUCCGAACGGGACUCUCCGUUUUCUCUAUUGUCCUGGGAUUCGUUGGGUGGCGCAGUCGGUACUUCCAGCAGCGCCUCCUCUUCAUGUAUGGUUAUCUUCUCUCUCCACACCUGACUCGGUGCUACGGUCUUCUCAGGAUAGUUCUGUUUAAACUGAAUGUCUUUUAACUUUACCAUUUCUCCUUCAUAGUCUGCCCAUCUGUUCUUGAUGAUUUCUCUCCUCUGGUUGCGGUUGCGUCGUUUUUUGACAUGCUUAGAGUCUUCAACGAUAUAGUUAGGGUCAGUAAAAUAGCGGCGUACCUUCUCUGAGGGGAAGUGCAUAUACACUUCUCCGGUUCCAAUAAAGAUAAUUGCUUUAACAGUGCUGAGGAACGGUCUUCCAAGGAUGAUGGGUGGAUCGUAUUCGUCUUCUCCCAUGACAAUAACCUGAAAGUCUAUGUAGACAAAAUGAUCGUCUAUUUUGAUAGGGACAUCAGUUACUAUUCCUUUAACCUCUUGGAAUGUCUGAUCUACCAUCUGGAGCUGAAUGUAUGUUGGUUUUAGAACAAGAGCCAAUAGGUCACUGCGGCCAUUAUGUUGACCCCCGAUCUGGUGUCACAAGUCGUCUUGUAGAAGUUGUAUCCAUUUAUGGAGUAGUAGAUGCUUGGCAUUCCUGGGUCGUCCUUCUUAGUCCGAAAUGGUGACUUAAGCUGAUGAUUUUGGCCUCCAUGAACUGCAGUGACCAUCUUAGCUGACUCGGUCCACACUUGCUUGUUCCUGUUCCUCCUGUUGGUCCUCUUCCAUGAUUCACGUCUGGAUUGAUCUGGGAUUUGUGUAGUCUUGUUCUUGAAGGAAAAUGUCUCCUUCUUCCCUUUGAUGUAGAAACUGAUCUUGGCAGCACUAGCGUAGAUGACAGCUCCCGAGGUGUUUAAGAAUGGCCUCCCUAAGAUGAUGGGUGCCCUCUCAUCAUUACCGGUCUCUAUCACCACGAAGUCUGCUGGGGCAUAUAAGGUACCAACUCGGACACAAAGGUUCCUCAAUAUUCCUUUUGGAAAACUUAUCGUCUGAUCUGCAAACUGCAAACACAGGGUUGUUUCUAAUAAAGGAUAUGUAAAGAAUUUUUCAUAGAGUACCCUGGGCAUAAUGUUGACACUAGAGCCAAAGUCGCAGAGUGCCUCUAACAAGUCCACCAUGCCGAUGGAGAUCAGGAUGACGGGGCAUCCUGGAUCGCCUCUCUUGACCGGCAGAAGGUUAGUAGUAACUUCAGUGACGGGGUUACUCCAAUUACCUGCAUCAAACAUGUGUACAAGAUUUGCAGAUUCUAAUCCUUCUGGUUGUGAUGGUAUAUCGGGGUUAGUAGUAGGAACAGAAGCAGCUAUUUGAUUUAAGUGUGAUUCAAUCAUUUUAUUAAAGCUAAUUUGAUUCUUGAUGGCUGUAGAGAAAUUAUUCAUUCUAUUAUUUAUAUUUUCUAGCAUUUUAUCAUUAGAUGCCAAUUUCUUAGAUAGGUUAUCCAUUAGCUUUCCUUGAUUAGACACUAACUCUCUCAGAGGUGGAAAAUUGCGAAUAAUUAGAAGAACAAUUAGGGAAUUACCAAGAAUCCUCUUGACAGAUCCGGAAACCAAUUGAAGAUUGACUCCUUGUAGUUCUAAUCCUAUGUAGCUAUGCUAAUCUAGAUAUCUAAUUGAUGUGGUGGCUCUAGGCUUGAUCAGAGGCUUCUUCUCCCUUGAUGAAUAAUGAAUUAGGGUUGAGAGGUCCCCUCCUCCAGGGGCUAGGGGGUCUGGUUUUAUAGUCCUUCCAAGUGAAUAUGGGUCGUCGGAUCAAGCCAACAUUGAUUGAACGGUUAUCAUUGAUCCUUUAGGUUGGUGGAGCGUAAUCCCGAAAGAGAGUCCUGAUUGGACACCAACACGGGGCGGGCGCCCUAGUCCCUAGGGCGGGCGCCCUAGGCCAGGCCCCGUUCUGCCUCCGCUUCGUUCUCGUCGCUUCUAGAGUCUUCUAGAUGUAAGAUAAUUGCACGGCACGUUAAUAUUUCUAUGUAAUCCCGACGUGUGGGCCUUUCUUCCGUAUUUCCUGAUAACCCCCUGCAGAAAUAGACAAACACCAAAACUCGUGGAAUUCUGUCAGAUAAAACCCUAAGUCUGGAUGUUGAUUUCAUUUGGAUCCUUUUCUUUGUUUAUUUGAUAAUUAAAUUUGAUACUUAAGGACCGUCAACAUCCUCCAUAUUUCCUGAUAACCCCCUACAGAAAUAGACAAACACCAAGACUUGUGGAAUUCUGUCAGAUAAAACCCUAAGUCUGGGUGUUGGUUACAUUUGGGUCCUUUUCUUUAUUUAUUUGAUAAUUAGAUUUGAUACUUAAGGAUCGUCAACAACUCCCCCAAGCUUACCUCUUGCUCGUCCCUGAGCAACGAUAGACUUAGUGAUGGAUCAGAAAUUGUUGCAAUGCCUUAGAAAGUUGACGGUACACAUUCUUUCAAAUAAGGUCUUAUCUCUGGGUUUGGGUAAACUAUUAAGAUUUGAACUUACUCAUAUUACCAUCCACUGUUGGGUAUUCUUAACAUCAUUACCAAAAGUAGACUAAGUUCUAAAUCUAGCAACGGUGCCAAAAAUGCCAAACCUAUCCCUCACACCACUUAAGCCAAGUUGUCAUCCCUAGCAUGACAUCAGAGACGCGGUAUUGAAAUAUGCAAUUGCUCUUCUAAAUAAAUAAUGAAUGGGAUUUGCAAGCGCACAGAUUAAUACUGAUGUAGCAUUUUAACCGGGAAGUAUUCCAGGUAUCGUUAUUUAUAUUUUUACCACUGGGAAGGGAUUAGAAAUCAUCACUAAUGAUUACAGAAUAGAAUAUGAGAUUGAGCAUCUAUCAUUGCAUGUAUAAUUGAGAACAUUAUAUCUAACUCUUCAUACAGGGAUAAGUGUCACAUAAAAGAUGUAUGAAAUAAUAAUAGUGACAAGGAUAACUAAUCUGAUCUAGCCACAUAAUAAAUAUGAUAAGCACCUCAAUAAGAUACUCUAGAAAGUCAUUAGCAUGGUAUUAGAACGAACUACAAGAAUAUUCCCUAAGUUAUUCUCAACUAUAUAGUCUAGCAUUAUCAUAAUUAGUGCAACCAUACUUAGCAAUCAUUGCGAGACAAGACUACGCCCAUGCAUAGUGAUAUUAGCAAGGAAUAUGAGAAACAUAGCAAUCACUCCCCUGUAAUAAUGUUGCUCUGCCAGCCCAAUACACGAGAGGGGGACUAUAUAAGAAUCAAUGAAGCUGUCACUAUCACGAACCACCCCACGAUCUGGCAUAUUGGGUACAAUCGCAGAUAAAUACGGUAUAAGCACCACGCCUACACAAUAUCUAUCAUUUACCCAUGGAUCCGAUGGAUAAACGCUAUACGAUCCUAAGCAUGUAUAUAGAUCGUAUCUAACUAAGCCAAGUACAUAACUAUGAUAAACUAAGAACAAUAUAAUCUUGAAUAUAAGCAAGUAGAGCGAAGUCAUAAGCAAUAUAUUGAAGUAGAACAAAGUCAUAUUCAUAAUAUUGAAGAACAAAGAUAAUUAGAAAACAAUUAGAAACACAAUUAGAGAAUUACCAAGAAUCCUCUUGACAGAUCCGGAAACCAAUCGAAGAUUGACUCCUUCUAGUUCUAAUCCUAUGUAGCUAUGCUAAUCUAGAUGUCUAAUUGAUGUGGUGGCUCUAAUCUGGAUCAGAGGCUUCUUCUCCCUUGAUGGAACAAUGAAUUAGGGUUGCGAGGCUCUCUCCUCCAGGGGCCAGGGGGUCUGGUUUUAUAGUCCCUUCAAGUGAAUAUGGGCCCUUGGAUCAAACCGACAUAGAUUGUAUGGUUUAGAUUCAUCCUUUAGGUCGGUGGAGACUUCCCGCAAAGCAGAGUCCUGUUUGGACUCCUGAGGUGGGCGGGCGCCCAGUAGGACAGGGCGGGCGCCCUGCCUCUGGCCCCGUUUCGCCUCCGCUUCGGUCUCGUGGCUUCUGGAGUCUUCUAGAUGUAAGAUAAUUGCGCAGCACGUUAAUAUCUUUACGUAAUCCUGACGUGUGGGCCUUUCUUCCGUAUUUCCUGAUAACCCCCUGCAGAAAUAGACAAACACCAAAACUCGUGGAAUUCUGUCAGAUAAAACCCUAAGUCUGGAUGUGGAUUUUAUUUGGAUCCUUUUCUUUACUUAUUUGAUAAUUAAAUUUGAUACUUAAGGACCGUCAACAAACUCCCCCAAGCUUACCUCUUGCUCGUCCCUGAGCAAGGAUAGACUUAGCUAUGGAUCAUAAGUUGUUGCAAUAUCUUUUUAAAAAUUUUGACGGUACACAUGCUUUUAAAUAAGAUCUCAUCUCUGAGUUAGAGUAAACUGUCAAGACUUAAAACUUACUUACUUUACCUCCACCAUGGGACUUGUAACUGUCACUUCUGUCUUGAGUGGUUAAAAGAUAGAACAGUCUAGCCAAGUGCCAUGUCUCUUAUUCUUGAUCAGCUAUAGCUCUGGGGUUUUUGCAGAUUUUCAAAUAAAACUCAGAGAUUCCUUGUAUGAUUCUCUCAGGUCUCUCUUUUGUGGUAUUUUUGGAUCCUUACCAAGGCAGUGAUGGUAUAUGCCUUCUCUCAAGAUAUGUGGUAUUUGUGGUAUGAGGCAUAGUGACAUUGCCUUCUCUCUCACCCUACUCUAAUAAGGCUUUAAUAUCUGGAGCUCAUAGGUGGGAGAUAAAGUAUACAUACUUACAAGACAUUUAUUGCAUAGUCAAACCAUGGAUCCAAAGUAACAAGUCAAUAAGUUUAAUCAAGAUAUGCAUGUGUGGCGAAUGAAUGGU
rnacentral:lncRNA from 1 species